AUUGAACGCUGGCGGCAGGCCUAACACAUGCAAGUCGAGCGGCAGCGGGAAAGUAGCUUGCUACUUUUGCCGGCGAGCGGCGGACGGGUGAGUAAUGCCUGGGGAUCUGCCCAGUCGAGGGGGAUAACUACUGGAAACGGUAGCUAAUACCGCAUACGCCCUACGGGGGAAAGCAGGGGACCUUCGGGCCUUGGUGGAUUGGAUGAACCCGGGUGGGAUUAGCUAGUUGGUGAGGUAAUGGCUCACCAAGGCGACGAUCCCUAGCUGGUCUGGGAGGAUGAUCAGCCACACUGGAACUGAGACACGGUCCAGACUCCUACGGGAGGCAGCAGUGGGGAAUAUUGCACAAUGGGGGAAACCCUGAUGCAGCCAUGCCGCGUGUGUGAAGAAGGCCUUCGGGUUGUAAAGCACUUUCAGCGAGGAGGAAAGGUUGGUAGCUAAUAACUGCCAGCUGUGACGUUACUCGCAGAAGAAGCACCGGCUAACUCCGUGCCAGCAGCCGCCGUAAAAC
rnacentral:rRNA from 1 species